rnacentral:rRNA from 1 species
CCUACGGGAGGCAGCAGUGGGGAAUAUUGGACAAUGGGGGGAACCCUGAUCCAGCGACGCCGCGUGAGUGAAGAAGUAUUUCGGUGUGUAAAGCUCUGUCAGCAGGGAAGAAAGAAAUGACGGUACCUGACUAAGCAGCCCCGGCGAACUACGUGCCAGCAGCCGCGGUAAUACGUAGGGGGCAAACGUUAUCCGGAUUUACUGGGUGUAAAGGGGGCGUAGACGGCGAUGCAAGUCUGAAGUGAAAGGCGGGGGCCCAACCCCCGGACUGCUUUUGAAACUGUAUGGCUGGAGUGCAGGAGAGGUAAGUGGAAUUCCUAGUGUAGCGGUGAAAUGCGUAGAUAUUAGGAGGAACACCAGUGGCGAAGGCGGCUUACUGGACUGUAACUGACGUUGAGGCCCGAAAGCGUGGGGAGCAAACAGGAUUAGAUACCCCGGUAGUC